AUGGCAGACACUGAACAAGGAAAACCGGCGCCCAGCAGCAGUUGCCAAAGGGAUGUGCCAGCGUCCCAACAAAGAGCUUGGAACUUCCAGCAGGCAGAGAUGGCAACACUGAAGGAUAACAGCCGUGUGCCUCUUCCUGGGACGCUGCUCUGUGUGCCUCUUCCAGGGACACUGCUCCGUGUGCCCCUUCCCGGGAAGCUGCUCCUUGUGUAUAUUCCUGAUUAUGUAUUCAUGCCCGACCCUAACUCUAGCAGCAGCACUAACGGGUUCGAUGGUCUGUGUGGAGCUGAUGAUGCAAACACGAACAUCCAUCAAAAGCUUGUUGCUGUCAGCAACAAGAAUUUUGGGCAGCUGGAGCCAUGCUCCAUGGACGAGGAGGAUGACCGGGACCCCAAGCCCAAGCCAACGAGCACGACGAGGUAA
rnacentral:rRNA from 1 species